rnacentral:rRNA from 1 species
UUGACCUCGGAUCAGGUAGGGAUACCCGCUGAACUUAAGCAUAUCAAUAAGCGGAGGAAAAGAAACCAACAGGGAUUGCCCUACUAACGGCGAGUGAAGCGGCAACAGCUCAAUUUGAAAUCUGGCGUCUUUUGGCGUCCGAGUUGUAACUUGCAGAGGGCGCUUUGGGAAUCGGCAUCAGUCCAAGUUCCUUGUUAUCAAGACGUCACAGAGGGAGAGGAAUCACGUACGUGAUCG